AUUUGGGAAUGAGGUUCUCCCCCGGCGUUGCCGAAACCGCUUUCACGAGCUGAUGACUUCUGCGUUUA
rnacentral:ncRNA from 1 species